UAGCCACAGGAAGGGACAAUGAGGAAGUCACAGCAAUGUUUAAGACAAAAGCCACAAACUGAGCAAGGACCAGAAGCACUGAGCGAAGGGUGGAAGAGGAGGACUUCAUUUUUCAAAUAAUCUGAAUGGCCAGCUAUGCCUUGGCCAUACCUGUGGGACCUGCCUCAAAGUCUUAAUUUCUAAGGUGGCUUCCAUGAAGGAACAGAAGAAAAUCUUGAUGUUUUCAUGCAGCAGCAGCAGUGUGGAGCCUCAGAAGAAAACAGAAGACAGAAGCCUGGGGGGGAUAGCAAGGGGUGCGGGGAGGAGGCUCUGGUCAGAAGCCUUGGUUUUGUGGCAAAUUGACUUAUUUUCUAUCAUGUCUCUAAAAUGUCUUUCUCAUCUUUGCUACCAUUUUCAUAAAGUCUGCAUCAUCCUUGGUCUGGGCAAUAAUUUCUCUUUUCUUACACAUUUAUAUAAGACCUACAAUGUUUCAGGUGCUUUCUAUUAUCAUCUCAGUCAGCACAAUCUCCCUGUGAGCCAGGGAUCAAUAGCUUCAUUUUAUAGAUGAGGAAAUGGAGGCUCAAAGGUUUUAGAGACCUGCCCAAAGUUAGAUGCUAAUAAGGCACAGACACAGCUGGCAUCUGGACCCGGGGUGGGGGGGAUUUAUGUCUGUGCUCCUUCUAUUAGAUUUGUAAGUGAAGGAUUUUGAAAAUUUUAAAAAGUGAUAAUUGAAUAUAUUUGCUUUAUUUUUAUUUAUUUAUUUAUUUUGGUGCCAGGAAUUGAACUCAGGACCUUGCGCUUGUUAGGUAAACACAUUUGCUUUAAAAGAAAAAAAAAAAAAAAAAGGAGAUAUUAUAGGUUAAUAUUCUCUCCUCUCUAUUCUUACUUGCUAGUCUUAUUUCCCCACCUCCUGAAGGUAACCCCUGAUGCAGCUGUAGAUUUUUUCAGAUCUUAUUCUCUAGGUAUUUCUUAAUCUAUAUCAGUUUGUGGCCCUUGCAUCCCAAGGCCUGGACCUCACUGUCCUAUCUAGAUAGCACUGCCUUGCACCCCUGUCCCCAGAAAGCAGCAUCAUGUUGUGGCCAAGCACCUCUACUGGGUAACUGGUUGGUUACAAAUGUUUCUUGCCAAGUAGGCUUAUUAUGUACAAGUGAUUCUCAGAAAGGGCAGCAGCCUGCCAGACAGUUCCAGGGUGAAGGACAUUUCCAAUACCGGGACACCAUCAUCACUAUACACAGAACUAAUCAGAAAAGUACCAUUUUGGACCAAUUAGAAACUGACUAUUUUCAGUCCUUCAUUUCAAUAUCUUCAUUUGGUGCUGUUCAUAGGCCAAUUGAAGGAUGCUCUUUUCAGGCCUUCCUUUGCAGGUGGGCACAACCAAUCAAAAGACACUAUUUCUGAUCCUUCAUUUACAUGUAAUAAAAAGCCAAACAAGUUUUUUGAUAGGUCAGUUUAUGCAUAGUGUGGCAUCUAGUGAGUGUUUGAUAGGACAACUUUCCCAGUGCCUUCUUUACAUGAAAGAGAGACAACCUGGUAUUUCUGAAUACCCUUUCCCCUCAUCCUUAGCCAUUCAUGAGCCUUCUCAUUGGCCCGGUGUCACUCUGCAGCACAUUUUCUGCCUUUGAUCAAUGUACACUUUUUCCCUUUUUCUAUGUUUCUUGUCCAGUUCUUUGUUCACGAUACCAAGAGCCUGCAAAGCCCUGGCAUCUCCAAUAAUAUUUCUCAUUCUCUGCUUUAUUUCAUGCAGCAAAUAUUUAACAUAUUUCAUUUUCUUUAGGUUUCUAUCUCUUCUUGUUUUGGCGAUUUCUUUUUUUCUUCACCUCUCUAUCAGAGCAUCUAGGUCUUUUUCUUUCUUUAACAAUGGUUCUUUUUUGUAGCUUCCUAGAAAGGUAUUUAGGUAAAUACACUGGUACCUUGAUUCACAAACUCAAUUUUCUCUGCAAUUCUGAUUGUAAAUUAAACUGGAUGAGAACCAAAUCAGAUUUUCCCAUAAGGUCAACAUCGAACCUGACCAUUGAAUUUGAUUCGGUUUUCACCCAACUCGGUUUGCAAGCAGAAUCAUAGAAAGAAUCAAGUCUGCGAGCUGAGGUACCAUUGUAUCAGUUUGUGCCAUACAACUAGUUUAAUGUAACUCUAUUAUGGAGUAACUUAAUAUUUUCUUUUUUAGCUUCUCUUUAGUUAGUGAGACUUGUGAACUAGUGAUGGGAAAAUGAGUUGUUUUAAGGCUCGCAGACUUCCUGAAAUCAUCCUUGGAAGAUUUCUCAAGACAAGCAAUACAUGGUCACUCUCACUCCUGUACAUUGUUUCUCUAAGCCCUGUGGCCCUGCAGUAGGACACCCAGAAGCAGAAGGGUCUCAUCUGUGAAGGGGGAAGCCAGUGUUGCUGAUCUGCAUGGAUGCAGGCACACAGAGCUUGAAAUCUGGAGGAACCAAGGAUUGGAAGCCCAGGCUGUGGACCCCCAGAGCCAUCACUCAGGGCAUGCACGUUACCUGGCCAGGACUUGUCCAAAAUGCGUUUAGCUACUGAUGUUAGAGAUCAGACAGAAGAGGCAAAGAAUGGAGAGGGAGAAGGAAUUCCUGUCCAGGAUAUUGGAAGGGAUGCGUGGAGAAGAGAGAUUGUUAGAAUCAGAACUGUCAAAUACCAGCUUUGGAAAGGACCUCAGAAAACCUUUCGAACAAGCUUUGUCCUAUAAAAAAGGAAAAAAGACCAGGAGAUUGACACCUGCUCAGUGUCACUCAGUUGGGAAUGGAACGACCGGCCACACGGUGGCAGCACUGUCCCCUAGCUCCUUGGCUGUGAUUAGCCCAGUAGGUGUUUUUGCUUCCACAGCAGGAGCACCCACCACCAGCACCACCACCUCCAGUUCCUUCAGAAACAAGCCGUUCUUUGAGGCGUACCCACAGUACUUAUUAGAAAGAGUUUUCUUAAUGCGUCUCCUUUCCUAAGUUAAUGACUUGGAAACGAUGAGGUUAGGCAUGAGGGGGCAACGUUGUGUCUUUUCCUAAUAACCAAUGUUUUACAUCUAACUUGCUAGGCUUGUGAAUCCAGCGGCUGUAUACAGGCGGAUGGGGAGAAGGGAGGUGAUGAGACACUCUAAUCACACUCUAAUCGAAUCAGGCUGGCCCGGAUGUGCUGAUGAGCAGGUGCUCUGGGAGAGGUCCCGGGCAGGCUCUGCUGUGCCCCUUAUCUGAACAGAGCUGAUGAGCUGGCCCCCUUCCAGAGGAGGACCAGAGCAGGGAGGGACACGGAAAGCAGGAGUGUCAGGGACAUAUGGAAGGAAAAGUGAGUAUUUACAGAGGAAAAGAUGACGUGAAUGCUGCGUUUAAACAUCGGAAGAGGUGUUGGGGAGAAGAGGGAUUGUUAGAUUGGUUGAAUGCUGGCUUUGGAAAGGACCCCAGGAAUCCCAUCAUGCAAACUUUGCCUCGUGAAAAAGGAGAAGAAGGUCUGGAGGUGGAUGCCUGCUCAGUGUCAUGCAGUUGGGUGAACUAUGAUUCAAAUAUGUUCUCCGGUGGGGUUGUGAAGGGUAGAGUGGGUGGGGUGAUGCAUGAGGGGUGGCCUCCGUUUAGUGUUGAAGCAGAGACUGGGUGACUGGCGGGUUCUUGAAUCACCCCGAGGGCUGACCACAGCCCAGCCACUAGAAAACCUCUGUGUUUUCUGCUGUGGUUCUCCUGGACUGCCACAGGACUCUUGGAAUAAUUGGGAAUAACUUAUGGUGAUGAGAAGUUUGUGUGUACAGUCCUGGAGUGAUGGGAUCACAAAGUCUGGCUUUUUAAAAAGGCUGCUUCCAUGUAGUAGCGGCAAACAGGAGGCUGGCAGUCUCUGGCCCAGGGUUCCCCAGUGUCCACGGGGCCACAGGCUGUUUUGGGGGCAUUAACAUGGAGCUUUCAUUGCCAACUUUGCUCUUCCUGUCUCCCUGGAAAUUAGUUUCUUUCUUUCUUUCUUUCUUUCUUUCUUUCUUUCUUUCUUUCUUUCUUUCUCUCUCACUGGGGAUCGUGUUCAGGGAACAAUGAAACUAUAUCUCCAGCCCUUUUCAUUACUCUUCUAUGUUUGAUUUUGAGACAAGAUCUUUGUGAGCUUCCCAGGUUGGCCUCAAGCUUAAUGGUCCUUCUGCCUCAGCCUCCCCAGUAGCUAGGACUACACGUAUGCACCAUCAUGCUCAGGUUAGAAAGUCCUCCUUAAGCAAUAUAAAUUGAGCAUCCCUUACAUGAAUAUAAAAAUAUGAAAUACUCCAAAAUAAAAAAGUUUGAACAUAGCCUAAUAGUAUAGAGGAAAAUUCCAUAUCUGAUCCCAUGGAGUGGAUCAUAAUCAAAACGCAAGUUCAUUAAAGAAAUUGUAUAAAAUAACCUUCAGGCUAUGUGUGUAUGGAGCAUGAUUUCAUGUUUAGACUUGAGUCUUAUCAACAAGACAUUGCAUAUGUAUAAGCAGCUGUUCUAGCCGCACCUCCACAUCUGAACACUUCUUGUCUCAAGCAUUUUGGAAAAGAGAUAUUCGACCAGUAUGGAGUAGAAAUGUUUGGCGACCUAUCCAGGCAUUGACUUGUUGCCUGUGUCAAUGUACCCACGUGAUCUGUGGGUGAUUUCACCACACUUUGUGUGGCUUUGAUGUGAAUGGUAAUAAAUUAGUUCAGACUGUUCCCUAGUCACAGGAUAAUGCUGAAAUUAAGUGUUUAAUGACUGUUUUUAAAAGAUGAAUAAGAAUGGUAGCAAUGCUCAAAGGAAAAUGAGGUCUUAUGUUCUAUUCCCCUGGAGCGUGGACUGGUAACAGUGGAAGGAAUGGUGGUAAUUAUGCGUCCCCAAUGUCUCACAAGUAUUCUAGGACUUCAGUGUGUAAAGAACAUAAGCAUAUGAAAUGGUUGCAUAUAUGCCUUUAAGUGUACUGGACAUAUAAUGGCUAGUGUAUUAAACAUCUUUGUCUACAGUGACCCAAAAGAAAUCACUUAGUUAAAAAGUAAGGAGACUGAAGAAAGGGAAAGGGAAGAAGAAGUGAAAGAAUUAAGGUGCCCCAUCACUACACACACACACAAGAAGAAAUUAAAUGUGCUAUGUAUAUGAACCCCCUCAAUGAAUGUCAUCAUUAUGUCAUUAUGGACUGAUGUCUUAAUUACUUUUCUCCUUGCUGAGAUAAAGUAUCUAGCACCCACAAUUAAGGGAAGAGAGAUUUAUUUCACUCAUGUUGUAGAGGUUUCAAUUCAUAGUUAACUGGUUCCAAAGCAGGGUGGUAUGGCGGAGGAGAAAUAGGCCAUGGCAUGGAGGAGCAGGCAGCAAGCAGCAGUAGCAAGCUAGCCCUCUUUCUGUCCCUUGUAAUCCAUCCAGGCUACGAGCUUAUUGAUUGGUGCUGUUACAGGCAGCUGAGCUAGUUAGAAAUAUUAUAAGCAGUCAGAGAGGGCUAGGCCCUCAAAGAAACUGGCACAGGGGACCAGAUGUCUGGUGACCUUGGAGGAGAUACAAUACCUCUUGCUGAGCCAGAUCUCAAAACAGAAGGCAAACAAAAGCAACCACACCCUUAAGUAUAAUCCUUAGGGAUUAAAUCUGGAUCACUUUGAGAACCCAGGAGUCACCACCCCAACCUCCUAUAGGAAUAAGCCACUGAUCCAUACAGAAUGCUCACUUGCCAUGUGACUUGCUUCCCUAAUUGUCCCUUAUUUAGUCUAUUUUACCUGAACAAUUAAACUAAUUGGUUGACCAUAGGUCUAUCCCAGUUUUCCCCACUUUAGACCCACCUCACCUCAUGGUUUUACUCUAAAAAACUCCUGAGAAAAUACAGAAUCUUUGGCAAACUACUAGGGACCCCUUCUGUCUCUCUCUCAGACAGAAGCUUUCUUUCUCUCAAUAAAUAUUUCUGCCCUUGCUCUCCCUGGUAAGCGGCUGUGGUGUGGCAGACUAUGGCCCUUCCAGGGGAAGAACCACUAGCGGCUCCUGAGAUCCGCGCCAUGUUGGAAAUUAGGACACUGGGAAACUAAGCAACCAGCUCACCUCCCUGCUAAGCUGUAGUGAACCUACUGGUGCCCGCAUAUAGUCAAACAUCCUUCCUCUGUCCCCCCAUUAGCAAAUGGGAACCAGAAAUCUGAGCAUAUCUUGAGAGGCUGACCAUAGCAAAUAAAGGGGUUUUCCUUCUACCAUCUCUUUGAAGGCAAACAUUUUUAUUACUGUUUUGCUUUAUCCUGAUUAAUGGUACUGCUCUAUUCAAUAUUCUGUUUUGAUAAGUUCUAUAAUGUUCUGUAUUUCAUUUUAUUUUGAUAUACGUGACUGAAAGAACAACUAUUGUAAAGAUAACGAAAUAUACUAUGAUACCUAUUACUGUUAUCCCGGUAACCUGCUGUCAAGUUCUGUACCAGUUUCACUACAUGGUCUCAGUUGGCUUUAUUCUGUCUUGUUCUGUUGUAUUUUACUACUUUAAAAAAAUAUUUUUGCUCUUAACUUCUAUUGUUCCUAAAAUUCAUUCUUUGAUUUUAGAGAACACAAACUUAUUCUGGACACAUGGCAGGUCAGGCAUUUCAUUCCCUGUCUCAGUGCCACCCAUACCCAGCGUGGGAAUUCUAUUAUCCACACCCUUUAUCCCAGCACUGCAUCUUUACUCCACAUUUACAUACCUUAAUCUGCCCCCCUUCCCAUAACUCCCCACUUUAUGACUAUGUGAGGCUUUGGGGAGACCUCUAGAUAUAAACUAUAACAACCCCAAGCAUGUACUAACAAAAAUUUAAA